rnacentral:lncRNA from 1 species
UGAGCGGACGCUGCCUACUGGUGGCCGGGCGGGAUGUAACCGGCUGCUGAGCUGGCAGUUCUGUGUCGCUAGGCUUCUGCCCGGCCGCCGCCGCACAUAAGCCACGAGGAGGAGCUUUACGACUUCCCGGUCUUCGGCGCCGGGCGCAGCAAGGGCCAGACUCUGCGCUAGCAGGCGCUGCGCGCCAACCGGCCGGCACCUGUCGCAGAAGGUGCAACCGAUCGCACUGUCGCGCAGAAGCUCCUCAAUGGCCAGCGCCAGCUGCAGCCCCGGCCGCCCACUCGCCUCAUCUGAGCCUGGCAGAAGGUAAGCAUGAGCAAAUUACUUUUUAGAGGUAACUUUGCUGAACUUGUGAAGAAUGGUGUGCAAGGUCCAGAGCGACUGCAGGAGAGGGAAGGUGGGAUUCCCACAGAGCAGGAGCACAGAUAAGCCAAGCAAGGCCCUGCUUGGAAGGCAGCAAUCAACAGAGAUGCACAGACCUGUGAGGGUGCCGGGACAGCCAUGCAACAAUGCAGCCCUUUUGCUUCCUGAGCUCACCAGUUCCCUCGCUCCACCUCUGAGAGGUGGUUUGGAGAAACACAGCCCUUCUCAAGAGGGCUGCAAGCUACUUAAGUCCUGAAAAUUUCCACAAGGCUGAGUCAAAUCUGCGUUUCAUCAUCUAUAAGAAAGGUACCUAUCGAGAACACCCUGCUGGCCAGUGUGUAAAUAUCUAAAGGAGGACUCAGAAAACACCGGGGAAGUCCAGCCUGCACGUGGUGGCUGGGCUUCAGUGAAGCAUGCAGCACAACAGGAGUUGUAAGUAGUAGUUACAUCAGCAGCCCUGGAAAUUCUGCUCAGAACCAAACUGAACAAAUAACAUUAUCUAAGGCUUACAAUUAUUUAACUCCCUAAAUUUUCUGUCCUCCCAGUAGCACUUUCAAAUGCCUAAAAGCAAUUAAAAGAAACAUUUUUCCAAUGUCUCACAGAACCAUUAGAAACACAAAAUUAAUAGCUUCAUAAACUAUAGCUUCUAUUUUAUCCAUAAUAGAAUGAAGGUGCAUAAACCACAUAGUAAUUAAUCUUUGGACAAAAGCAAACAAUAAAUGGAAUAUAUGGCUAAGAUCCUUUCUUUUUGAGUGUGGCCCAAGAUAAAAAUUUCUUCCAAAAGGGUAACAUUAAUGCAAUAAGGCUUUUGUGGAAUUCUAUUUUGUACGAAAUUCCUGUUUUCUAUUAGCUACUUCUUCCUCUGUGACACAAGCCUCAUUCCUUGUGAAAAACACGAAGCAGAAAACAUUCGUGAAAUCAUCAGGUAAAGAUCCCAUGACCGUUCUAUCACUGACACAGUAUGUAGGUACAUGGUACAACCCCCAAGGGACCACCUUGUGGCAUCCUCA